UACAGAGGUCCCAAGCGUUGUUCGGAUUCACUGGGCGUAAAGGGUGCGUAGGUGGCCAGGUAAGUUCGGUGUGAAAGCUCGGAGCUUAACUCCGAAAUGUCAUUGAAUACUAUCUGGCUUGAGGGUCGGAGGGGAGACUGGAAUUCUCGGUGUAGCAGUGAAAUUCGUAGAUAUUCGGAAGAACACCAGUGGCGAAGGCGAGUCCCUGGACAAUUCCUGACACUGAGGCACGAAAGCUAGGGGAGCAAACAGG
rnacentral:rRNA from 1 species